rnacentral:rRNA from 1 species
AGUGAACGUUGGCGGUAGGCCUAACACAUGCAAGUCGAACGGCAGCACAGUAAGAGCUUGCUCUUACGGGUGGCGAGUGGCGGACGGGUGAGGAAUACAUCGGAAUCUACUUUUUCGUGGGGGAUAACGUAGGGAAACUUACGCUAAUACCGCAUACGACCUACGGGUGAAAGCAGGGGAUCUUCGGACCUUGCGCGAUUGAAUGAGCCGAUGUCGGAUUAGCUAGUUGGCGGGGUAAAGGCCCACCAAGGCGACGAUCCGUAGCUGGUCUGAGAGGAUGAUCAGCCACACUGGAACUGAGACACGGUCCAGACUCCUACGGGAGGCAGCAGUGGGGAAUAUUGGACAAUGGGCGCAAGCCUGAUCCAGCCAUACCGCGUGGGUGAAGAAGGCCUUCGGGUUGUAAAGCCCUUUUGUUGGGAAAGAAAAGCAGCAGGUUAAUACCCCGCUGCUCUGACGGUACCCAAAGAAUAAGCACCGGCUAACUUCGUG